UUGGGACUGAGCAAGGGUAGGAGAGCUCAUCAAUUUGAAGUCACACAAAUCUCAGUUUUGAUCUUGGCUCAGCAGGUUUCUCAGCUGCUUCCAAAGAGGAA